UAUAUUUUAGUGUAUGAUGCACAAAAGUUUUUGAUACUUUUAGAGAUAGUUUAAUUCUAUUAAAUAUAA
rnacentral:tRNA from 1 species